GCGCUGGUGGUGUAAGGCGAACAUCGCUGCCCGGAAAGCAGAAGAUGCGGGUUCGAGUCCCGCCUGGCGCA
rfam:Heligmosomoides polygyrus genome assembly, scaffold: HPBE_scaffold0000050